rnacentral:sRNA from 1 species
GCAGAGAAGGGAGGGAGGAAGGGGCUUCGGGUGGUAGUAACACACCUGGGAACUCAGCCUUAAGAAGAGGCAGUGCCUACAGAAGGAUUUGCCCUCGUCCCUUGUCGUCCUGGAGCUCCACUUGCAGAGAGGGCCAGUCAGGCCAUCCCAGUCUUUGACAUCUGGCUGUGUCACAGUCUACAGGAUUGAGAUCUGUCCUGCCAGAGCUCAUCGAGAAAACCUUUAAUAGACUCCAGGGACAUAUCCCGAUGCACAAUGGUCUUCUGCACCUCUACCAUCUAAUGGGGAGAGAACCCCAUGGAGACUCAGUGAUGUGCCGCUUUAUUGGCAGACACCCCUAUUCUUGCUGGUCUGGGUGGAGAUGCCAAGCCAGGAACAGGAGACUGACAGAAGAUUUGUUUGAAUGGAAAGGAAGAACAUAGUCCAAUAGAUGACAUCUUUCUACUGAUAGUGUCACCCUGCCUCCAUUUCUCCUUCUGCAAAUGGGAAUAAGAUACUUUGAGGGCUUUUGUCACAGCUUCUCUGAAACCACAGACACUCAAUGGAUGCAAAGGCAGCCAAGUGUGACCAGUCUUGUCUUGGUGACUCAGAAUUAACAUUAUGAACACCAGAUGCUAUGCACUGAGGCCAUGGGCAUGAGGAGAACAA